AGUUUGAUCCUGGCUCAGGAUGAACGCUAGCGGGAGGCCUAACACAUGCAAGCCGAGCGGUAUAGAAUCUUCGGAUUUUUAGAGAGCGGCGUACGGGUGCGGAACACGUGUGCAACCUACCUUUAUCUGGAGGAUAGCCUUUCGAAAGGAAGAUUAAUACUCCAUAAUAUAUUGAUUGGCAUCAAUUAAUAUUGAAAGCUCCGGCGGAUAGAGAUGGGCACGCGCAAGAUUAGUUAGUUGGUGAGGUAACGGCUCACCAAGACGAUGAUCUUUAGGGGGCCUGAGAGGGUGAUCCCCACACUGGUACUGAGACACGGACCAGACUCCUACGGGAGGCAGCAGUGAGGAAUAUUGGACAAUGGGUGCAAGCCUGAUCCAGCCAUCCCGCGUGAAGGACGACUGCCUAUGGGUUGUAAACUUCUUUUGUAUAGGGAUAAACCUCUCCUCGUGAGGAGAGCUGAAGGUACUAUACGAAUAAGCACCGGCUAACUCCGUG
rnacentral:rRNA from 1 species